rnacentral:rRNA from 1 species
AGAGUUUGAUCAUGGCUCAGAACGUACGCUGGCGGCACGCCUAACACAUGCAAGUCGAACGAAGUAGCAAUACUUAGUGGCAGACGGGUGAGUAACAUGUGGGUAUCUGCCCUUUGGCCUGGAAUAACACGAGGAAACUUGUGCUAAUACCGGAUAAGUCUUUACGGAGAAAGCUUUAUGCACCAUUGGAUGAGCCCGCACUUGAUUAGUUUGUUGGUGGGGUAAUGGCCUACCAAGACUGUGAUCAAUAGCUGAUUUGAGAGGAUGAUCAGCCACAUUGGGACUGAGACACGGCCCAAACUCCUACGGGAGGCAGCAGUGGGGAAUCUUGCACAAUGGAGGAAACUCUGAUGCAGCGAUGCCGCGUGAGUGAAGAAGGCCCUUGGGUUGUAAAGCUCUUUCGUCGGGGAAGAAAAUGACUGUACCCGAAUAAGAAGGUCCGGCUAACUUCGUGCCAGCAGCCGCGGUAAUACGAAGGGACCUAGCGUAGUUCGGAAUUACUGGGCUUAAAGAGUUCGUAGGUGGUUGAAAAAGUUAGUGGUGAAAUCCCAGAGCUUAACUCUGGAACUGCCAUUAAAACUUUUCAGCUAGAGUAUGAUAGAGGAAAGCAGAAUUUCUAGUGUAGAGGUGAAAUUCGUAGAUAUUAGAAAGAAUACCAAUUGCGAAGGCAGCUUUCUGGAUCAUUACUGACACUGAGGAACGAAAGCAUGGGUAGCGAAGAGGAUUAGAUACCCUCGUAGUCCAUGCCGUAAACGAUGUGUGUUAGACGUUGGAAAUUUAUUUUCAGUGUCGCAGCGAAAGCGAUAAACACACCGCCUGGGGAGUACGACCGCAAGGUUAAAACUCAAAUGAAUUGACGGGGACCCGCACAAGUAGUGGAGCAUGUGGUUUAAUUCGAAGAUACGCGCAGAACCUUACCAACACUUGACAUGUUCGUCGCGACUCUAAGAGAUUAGAGUUUUCGGUUCGGCCGGACGAAACACAGGUGCUGCAUGGCUGUCGUCAGCUCGUGUCGUGAGAUGUUGGGUUAAGUCCC